UGAGGAAUAUUGCACAAUGGGCGAAAGCCUGAUGCGGCGACGCCGCGUGGGUGAAGAAGGUUUUCGGAUCGUAAAACCCUUUUCUGUGUGACGAGAACGGACGGUAGCACAGGAAUAAGUCUCGGCUAACUACGUGCCAGCAGCCGCGGUAAAACGUAGGAGACAAACGUUAUCCGGAGUUACUGGGCGUAAAGGGCGUGCAGGCGGCAGUCUAAGUCUGGCGUGAAAUAUCCCGGCUCAACCGGGGAAGGUCGUCGGAUACUGGGCAGCUAGAGGACGGUAGAGGCGUGUGGAAUUCCGGGUGUAGUGGUGAAAUGCGUAGAGAUCCGGAGGAACACCAGUGGCGAAGGCGACACGCUGGGCCGUACCUGACGCUAAGACGCGACAGCAUGGGGAGCAAACAGGAUUAGAUACCCAUGUAGUCCCUGAGCGGGCUGGCAAGGCGCAU
rnacentral:rRNA from 1 species